rnacentral:lncRNA from 1 species
AAUAUAUGAUUCCUGUUAUAUAAUGGAAACUAUAAGAUUAUACUUAUAUUUAGUUAUCAUAGCAAUUUAUUUUCUAACUAUAAUCGGUAGCAAUUUGGCUUCAACCCAAUAAAAUACAUUCACUUCAAUCAAUCAAAAUCUUUGUUUUCAAUAUUUUUAUAAAAAUGGGCUUAAUUUUACAUGCACAUUUAUAUGAGAAUGUAGGGAUG